rnacentral:rRNA from 1 species
GAGUUUGAUCCUGGCUCAGGACGAACGCUGGCGGCGUGCUUAACACAUGCAAGUCGAACGGAAAGGCCCUGCUUUUGUGGGGUGCUCGAGUGGCGAACGGGUGAGUAACACGUGAGUAACCUGCCCUUGACUUUGGGAUAACUUCAGGAAACUGGGGCUAAUACCGGAUAGGAGCUCCUGCUGCAUGGUGGGGGUUGGAAAAUUUUCGGCGGUUGGGGAUGGACUCGCGGCUUAUCAGCUUGUUGGUGGGGUAGUGGCUUACCAAGGCUUUGACGGGUAGCCGGCCUGAGAGGGUGACCGGCCACAUUGGGACUGAGAUACGGCCCAGACUCCUACGGGAGGCAGCAGUGGGGAAUAUUGCACAAUGGGCGGAAGCCUGAUGCACCAACGCCGCGUGCGGGAUGACGGCCUUCGGGUUGUAAACCGCUUUCGCCUGUGACGAAACGUGAGUGACGGUAAUGGGUAAAGAAGCACCGGCUAACUACGUGCCAGCAGCCGCGGUGAUACGUAGGGUGCGAGCGUUGUCCGGAUUUAUUGGGCGUAAAGGGCUCGUAGGUGGUUGAUCGCGUCAGAAGUGUAAUCUUGGGGCUUAACCCUGAGCGUGCUUUCUAUACUGGUUGACUUGAGGAAGGUAGGGGACAAUGGAAUUCCUGGUGGAGCGGUGGAAUGCGCACA